rnacentral:lncRNA from 1 species
GUCCACUGCAGCCACAUGGGGAGGACACAGCCUGGUCCAGGACCUUUCCAUCAAUUUAAUUCCAAUAGAAUCCAGCCUCUUUCUUUGUAUGAUUUUGAAGGUAGAGUUGGUUUUGUCUUCUUGCUUACUGCCUCCUUUCGCUUGUUUAAAUAUUUACCUUACAUUUUCCCUACUCUGACUAGGGGAGACAUUUUGCUAACUUAAAAUAGUUGAGCGACAUUGUCCUCCACAGUCCCUUCUGGAGAUGUGAAUUUCCUUCAAACCUCUGAGAUUGGGGUUUAAGCCAUCUCUUCUGGAAUUCUCUCAUGGGGAGAUAAUUGAGUUCAACCGUUCCUUCAUACCAGGACCAGGUACCAGUUGUUAAAGAAUUAUGGAAAGCUAUUCCAGAGAACAUGUUGCCCACUUUUAGAUAUCUGCCUGAGCUCCACAGAUUCAGCCAGAGUCCAUUUAUACAAUGCUAAAUGAGAGUUUCCCACAUACAGGGAACUCUAACAUCUCCAGAUAAAUAGCUCUGCAAGGAGAAAAUGCAAAUUAUGACUUAAAGUCAGCCUCUACUUUUGUGCAGUGCAUACCAAUGUGGCUUUACCCUUUAGCUAGAGCAAUGGAGCUACUACUUCUUUUAUGCAGAUAGAUGCCCUGCAUGAGUUUGUUUCCUGAGACUGUUGGAAAAAUAAAUAGACUAUUAGCUACUUGGUUUCCUCUUUAGAAACCCAGCAGGCACAACAGGGAGAGACAUUAGUCUUUAAGCACCAGUUCUACGAAACAACCACACCAUAGAGCACUUGGAGCGGAACUGAAAAAGGUUAAAACAAGUCCAGAGAAAGGGUGUGGGCAGUCAGAUAGUUUAGCAGACGCUAAGCUUGUGCCAGGGACUUUUAUAAUCAAGGCUUUUGCAAUAGUGAUUUUGUAACAAGUAAAGAAUCCACACACAUGAGGAGGAAGUGUAAGAAAUCAAUUAAAACUUCAGAGAAUGAAACGUGGAAGGCAUAAAGCACCACACACUAAGAGACAAGGGGAAGAAUUAGUCACAGAAAUAAUCAUGAGGAAAGUGCAAUUGUGGGAUCAUACAAGCUGAGGAUGCCUAGAGGGAUCCCUGGAUGUCUGUGAGCUGUAAGGCUCAAGUGGAUUCCUGCAGUGCUCAGCAAGCCUCGCCAGGCCCCAUGUGCACAGGUGUGGGGGUCUUGCUCUGUCAUCCAAGCUGGAGUGCAGUGGUACAAUCACGGCUCACUGCAACCUGGACCUCCAGUGCUCAAGCAAUUCUCCCACCUAAGCCUCCUGAGUAGCCAGGACUACAGGUGUGUGCCACCACGCCCAGCUAAUUUUCUUUUAUUUAUUUAUUUAUUUAUUUAUUUAUUUAUUUAUUUAUAGAUAGGGACUCACUAUGUUGCCCAGGCUGGUCUCAAACUCCUGGGCACAAGUGGUCCUCUGUCCUUGAUUGGCCUCCCAAAGAGUUGAGAUUAUAGGCAUGAGCCAUCAUGCCAGGCCAGACGUGUGUUGUUUUUAAGCUACCAAGUUCACAGAAAUUUGCUACUGCAGCAAUGGGAAACUAAUAGAACGGGAAAGAGACACAGAGAUGUUUUACUGAAGAAGGUAUACAGACAGAAAUAAGCCCAUGAAAAUAUGUACACUUUCUUUUUCUUUUCUUUUCUUUUUUUUUUUUUUUUGAGAUGGAGAUUCACUCUUGUUGCCCAGGCUGAAGUGCAUGAUCUCAGCUCACUGCAACCUCUGCCUCUCAGGCUCAAGCGAUUCGCCUGUCUCAGCAUCCCAGGUAGCUGGGAUUACAGGCAUGUGCCACCAUGCCCGGCUAAUUUUGUAUUUUUAGUGGACACGGGGUUUCUCCAUGUUGGUCAGUCUGGUCUUGAACUCCAGACCUCAGGUGAUCCGCCCACGUUAGCCUCCCAAAGCACUGGGAUUACAGACAUGAGCCACCGUGCCUGGCCAAAAACAUGUACAUUUUCAUUAGCCAUUAGGGAAAUGAAAAAUAAAAACCACAAUGGGAUCUCACCACACACCCAUCAGCAUGGCUAAAAUAAAAAGUAGUGACAGCAUCAAAUGCCAGUUAGAAUGUAGAGAAACCAGAUCACUCACACAUUGCUGGUGGGAAUGUAAUGGUGCAGCCAUUCUAGAAAACUUCGGGAGUUUCUUUAAAAAACUAAACGUGCAACUACCAUAUCAUCCAGAAAUUGCACCCUGGGACAUUUGUCCUAGAGAAAUGAAGACUUAUCUUAUGUUCCUACAAAAACCUGCACAUGAAUAUUUACAGCAACUUCAUUCGUAAUAGCCCAAGAACUGGAAACAACCCCCGUGUCCUUCAACAAGUCGGUAAAUGAUUAAGCAGACUGGUUCAUCCAUACCAUGAAAUACUACUCAGCCAUGAGAAGAAACAGCCUUGAUACACAAAGCAACCUGGAUAAAUCUCCAGAGAAUUAUCCGGAGUGGAAAAAGCCAAUCCCCAAAGGCUGCUACACAGUCCGUGACUGCAUUAGUUUAACAUUCUUAACAUGACAAAAUUAUAGAGAUGGAGAACAGGUUGGUGGUUGGCAGGAGUUAAGGAGGAGGAGAGGGCAUUGACAAGGGAAGGAAAUGGGUAUGUCUAUAAAAAGGCAACUUGAGGACCCCUUGUGAUGAUGGAAAUGUUCUGUUUCUUAGCUGUAUCAAUGCCAGGGUCUUGGCUGUGAUACCGUACUGCAGUUUUGCAAGAUGUUACUAUCGGGGGAAAUUAGGUAAAGUGUUCAUGGGAUCUCUGCAUUAUUUCUUACAACUGCAUAUGAAUCCACGAUGAUCUCAAAAUAAGAAGUUUAAAACCACAAAUGUGGGGAGGAGAGAGGCAGAAGUGUUUGAAAAGGCUAGAAAUUAUCAAACAACAAUUUUAAAGUUCUAUUCAUAAACAAAGUAGAACUAUUUGAUUUCCCAUUGUAAAUAGAAAAUGUGAUUUUACAUGCCCAGUACAACAUAUAUGCUUAAUAAAUAUUUGUUGGAAAGAUGGUGGUGGGGGUGGAUGGAUGGAAAGCGAAUAGCUGCAAAUCCUGUCAGCAGGCAGUGUAGGGGCAGAGAGAGGAUGAAGGAAAAAGAAAAGACAAAGAGAUAAAGAAGGAGGAGGAAGGGGGAAAAAGAGCAGAAGAAGAGAAAUAAGAAGAGAGAAAGGAGGAAAUGAAGGGGAAAAGGAGGAAGAGGAAGAAGGGGAGGAAGGGGGAGGAAGAGGAAGAGAAAGAGAAGUCAGGGGAGAUGAGAAGCAUGGUGCUUUGUGGCAUAUUGACGGUGGGCAAGGCUGUGGAUUUUUCUGAGCAGCCUUGGUGUGGAGAAAAGACCUCCCAGGGUGCAUGGCGCCCGCAGACACCCUGGCUAGGCUGCCCCUUGUUGGGUGGAACUGCUCCCUCCCUCUUUGCUGGGCACCUACUUUGUCCCCUGGUGGGUGGCUCCUGUAUGGGUGAGGUAUUCCAGCUCUCUGGGCCCUUUCCUUCUCACCCUGUAUCGGCACAGCUCCAGCACCAGGUCAUGGUCACAGACAGUCAGAAUGUGCUGAUGGAAUUUUCCUGUUGAUUUAAGCUAGUGAGACCUUGCUUGUCCUGGAAAAACUGGACAUGAGAGAGGUAGGGGGAACAGGAAUUGCUUUCCAAGAAUCUCCCUCAUAUGGGGUGCUCUGAAGGCCUCUUUUGUCAUCUCCUUCUCCUUGGGAAGGGGUUCCUGGAAAGGUGCUGGUGCAGGAGGGCACUGGUGCAGGUAGCAGCUGGUGCAGUGCUGGACUUGUGUUCCCUGGAGACAGGGCCAUGAUCUUCUCUCCCAUGUGUCAAAUCAGACAAUGGACACUGAAACACUGCGCUGGGGCCUCAGGAGGAGGAUGAGGAACAGGAUAGGGGGACACCCACCUCUCUCUGCCCAGGACGACUCAGGGGUGUGCCUCCUAGCAGCUGUGAAAACACUAAAGGAUUUACAACAUUCCCGCUUAUGUGGGAUUUGGAUUCAUUUCCACAGCUCUACCUAUGAGUAAGAGAAUCUAUUCAGCAACAUGACAUCACGGAAUGGCAAGAGUGACAGCUGCAGAGGUGCCAGAUGUUGUCCCAUCUCUGUCUCACUGUGCUCUGGCCUUCUCUGGCCUCUCCUUUCUAACCCACCAACCCUGUCUGGCUGGGAUAUAGGCCUGGUUCAUAAGUCCCCUCUGCUAUACUCCACCUUUGCCUCAGGUCUCUCAUCCCUUUGCCUUCUGCCCGCCACCCACCUGGAUUGGAAGCCCACCGUGGGGGUUGUCUCUUGGCUGCUGAGCGCUCAGCAGGGCCCCUGUGGUCAGCAAAUGGGUGAUGUGGGAGUGCAGAUGACACACCCUGGUUGGGUUCUUUCCGUGAGAAAGUGGCAUUGGGUAUUUCUAAAAUGACUGUGGUUUUCUUAAAUUUUCUAACCACAAAAAUGUUAUGAGUUUCUCACCGUGGCAGAUCAAAUAGAAAUAUGAUUCAUGCUUCACAAUUUGUGUAGCCAAUAUCAUAGAUAUUUGGUAGUUCUAUUAUGUAUCUGACAGGUACAUAUAUUUUUUUCCUCUAAGAGAUUGUUCUGUGUGAAUAGAUAGAAACUACUUAAAUACAGUAAAGUCUAUUUAUUACAGACCAAGAGCAAACAGUUUACUAAAUGGAAAAAUGCUGAAGUCAUUUCUAUUAAUUCAAGAUCAAGACAGAGUGCCCAUUGUCAUCACUAUUGAUCUACACAGCAUUGACUGGAGUACAAUGGUGUGAUCUCAGCUCAACGCAACCUCCACCUCCUGGGUUCAAGUGAUUCUCGUGCCUCAGCCUCCUGAGUAGCUUGGAUUACAGGCCUCUGCCACCACACCUGGCUAAUUUUGUAUUUUUAGUAGAGGUGGGGUUUCUCCAUGUUGGUCAGGCUGGUCUUGAACUCCCGACCUCAAGUGAUCUGCCUACCUCAAACUCCCAAAGUGCUGGGAUUACAGGCGUGAGCCACCGCGCCCAGCCAGAAGGAGCACUUUCUAAACAAGCUAGAAAUCCCAGAAGCCAUCAACAAAGGGGGAGAUAUAUGUUGACUACAUGAAAAUUAAACAUUUUAUAAGAGAAGGAUCCAUGAGCAAAAUCAAAGAGCAAACAACAGACUAGGAAAUGUAUUUCCAACACACAAUCAAUCUCUUAAACCAUUGAAAAACUAUGAAUUAAUUAUACUUUUAAAAGAUAAAUUUAAAUUGUAGCAAGAAAAUGCUAAAGGACUAUGAGCUGCUAAUUUGCAGAAGAAGCAAUCCAAGCACCCAGAAAACACAUGAAAGGAGACUCAGAGAACAGAAAUUCAACAAAUGAGGCAACAGGGCCACCUAAGGUUUUAGGGUGACCAACUUGUCCUUGUUUGCCCAGGAGUCUCCUAGUUUUGAAACUCCUUAGUCCUGGGCAAACUGAGAUGGUUGCCCUUGACAGAAGAAAGAAAAGCCUGAAUCAGGUAUUUGAACUUUGAAUGGACCAAGAGUGUACUCAAUGAGAUUGAGUUAACCCCAAAAGACUUAAACCCCAGAAAGAGACUAAGUGGACUUCAAUGAGCAGCUUUGUGUUUUCUUACCAUUAAGGGAUUAGGGGCUCCAGGAUGAGGUGGCAGCAAUUCUAGGCAGUAAAGAAAGUUACUGACAUGGCUGGAAAGUUUGUAUACAAAGGUGGUUUAGGGUCAUGUGGGGGCUGAAACCUAGCUCAUGCUCUGCUUGUCGAGCUGUGUGUCCUGGUGUGGGGCUGAGCCCGUCUGGACCAAGGGAUGCCCUUGACUCUGCACACAGGUGUGCAUGGGUUAGAGGGACCCUAGUGAUGGCCGUCCUGUCAUCUGGGCUUGGUAGAGCCCAGGCCCAAAGCAUGGUGACACUCAGAGGACACACUCCUGCAUGGUCCAAGGCAGUGUUUCAGGGAAGAAUCUGUCUGGGUGGAGGCCUGGUGGGCUGGAGGGCUUGGAGGUGUCUGUGAGGUUGCCCUGCAGGCCCUGACCUCUCAGAGAUUGUACUGAGGGAGUGCCAGUCCUCCUGGUUGUCUGACUGGCUGUGCCCCCACUGCCACCCUCUCAGCCUACAGCCUCUUGCUCUUCACUCAGCCAGCUCCACAGGAACCUUUUUACAUUCUGAGCUCAGCAGUUCUUCUUCCCCACAGCCAGGCCCCUGGCCCCCUCCUCCCUGUAGCCUUCCUUGCCUGGGCUCUGAGAACCUGCCCUGACUGCAGACUGGGGUCUUUGUUAAUCUAGAUGAGGGCCCGGGGGCUGAGCUUCAGGUCUCAGAAUGUGCUUUCUAAGGUGGCCACCUUGAGACCUCCCAUCCCAUAAGCUCUUCUUACAAUGUGUUGUUGACUUUCCUCCCAUUGAGAGGUGGGGGUGCCUUUGAAUUUGGGAGGGACUAUGUCAUACAACUAUGACAAAAGUGACUGUCUUCAUCUGUUUUCUAUUGUUAUAACAGAAUAACACAGACUUGGUGAUUUUUUUUUUUUUUGAGACAGGGUCUUGCUCUGUUGCCCAGACUGGAGUGCAGUGGUUUGAUCUCGACUCACUGCAACCUCCAUCUCCUGGGUUCAAGUGAUCCUCCCACUUUAGCCUCUGGAGUCACUGGGACUACUAUGUGCACAACACCACACCCAGCUAAUUUCUGUAUUUUUUGUAGAGAUGGGGUUUCACCGUGUUGUCCAGGCUGUUCUCAAACUCCUGGGCUCAAGUGAUGCACCCACCUCAGCAUCCCAAAGUGCUAGGAUUACAGACAUGAGCCACCACUGUGCCCACCCCAGACUGGGUGAUUUAUAAAGAAAAUAAGGGGUUUUUUUGGGCUCAUGGAGGCUGGGAAACCCAAGAGCAUGGCACUGGCAUCUGGUGAGGGCUUUCUUGCUGCAGCAUCUCGUGGUGGAAGGACAAGUGAACAUGACAGACAGAGAAUGGAGGCUAAACUUAAGCUUUUUAUCAGGAGUCUACUCCCAUGAUAACUAACCUGCUCCCACAAUAAUGGCCUGAAUGCAUUCAUUAGAAUGGUGUCCCUGUGACUUACUCACCUCUUAAAGGCUCCGUAUCUUAAUACUGUUACAGUGUCAAUUAAAUCUCAACAUGAGCUUAGUAGAGGUCAAACAUUCAAACUCCAGCAGUGACAUUAUGUGAGGCUCAUUCCUAAAAGGCAAUACAGCUUCUGCCUGGUUCUCUUGGGACACCUGCUCUUGGAAUCCAGCUACCAUGCUGUGAGGAAGCCCAAGCCUCCUGGAGAGGCCAUGUGUGGCUCUUCUGACUGAGCUGACAACCAGAUUGGUUAUGGAAACUUCUGAGAUGGCUCCAGCCCCAAUUAACCUCGAUUGUGUAAGAAACAUCUAGCUGAACCCAUUCAACCGCCAGAACUGUGAGAGGUGAUAAUAAAAAUAUUGCUCAUGUUUUAAGCCACCGUGUUUUGGGAUGAUUUGUAAACAGCAAUAGAUAAUUGGUGCCACAAUUCUGGCAGCAGAGCACUAAGACCAAAACCCUGUUAUAAGCUUCUGCUCUGAUCAUUUAACCCCUACCACUUUCCUGGGUGAUCAGCCAUUUGUUCAACUUGCAUUGGGUGAGCAUUCGCCUCAUGCCAGGCUCUGUGUCACACUGAGGGCCCAGUGAGGGGUGAACAAACAGACUUGGUGCUGGCAUUCAGAGAAGGGACAUCUGUUACUCGGGAGACCCUCAUUCCCCUUAUCUCAUGAAGUGAAGGGGAUCUGGUCCCACCUGGCUUCUUCCCUCUUCCUUUCCCUGCAGCCAGGCUGGGCCUGGAGUGUCCUAGCACAUGUCACUCUAGUGACUGAAUUCUGGACAUUAUUAUUGGCUUCCUGUGAGAACCGAAGCAGGGGCCCUUGAGGGAUAAGAUCAGAUGAACAGGUUUAAACCAAAAGGGAGACAAAGCCACCCCAAACUGAGAGGCAGGAUGGAGUACAGGGAGACGUCCAGAAAGCAGGGACCUAAUCUAGGAUGGGGAGAUUUGAAAGACAGGAAGGAGGGUCUGUGCUGGUGGUUGGCAUUGUUGGGGCGCCAAGGGGGUCACUCAGGGUGGUGUCUCUCAUGUGGCCUUUGGUUCUUUCUCCAGAGAAGCACUCAGGCGAGGAGGCUGGGUCAUGUUUCAGGGUUGUUAAAAAUACAGCAGUAACUCACUGAGUGCCGCCUUCUAUGGGGUUGGCCUGGGGAGCUGUAAAGUAUAAAGGGAAACCUCUUCCCCAGGUGCAAGGACCUGCUGCUGGCAGUUGAUGGAGCAACUGUGGGAGUGGUGAUUGGCUGCUUUGAGGAGGCCCAAGAAGUGAGCUGCCACCUCACAACUCCAGGGGCUGGGCAAGGAUGAGAGAGUCUCAGAUUCAUUGCUGGGGCUUGGAGUCUAAGGGGCAUGGAGGGAUGUAGUAGUCAGCUAGAGCUGCCAUAAUAAAGCACCAGAAACAGGAUGGCUUACACAACAGAAAUGUAUUUUCUCAUCGUUCUGCAGACCAGAAGUCCAAGAUCAAGGGGUCAGCAGGAUUGUUCCUCCUGAGGGUUAGGAGGGAGAAUCUGCUCUAGGCCUCUCUCCUGGUUUCUAGUGUUUGCCAGCAAUCUUUGCCAUUUCUUGGUUUGUAAAAGCAUCACCUGAUUUCUGCCUUGGUCUUCAGGUGAUGUUCUCCCUGUCUGCAUGUUUGUGUCUAAAUUUCCCCUUUUUAUAAGGACAUCAGUCAUAUUGGAUUAGGACUCACCCUUCUCCAGUAUUACUGCAUCUUAACUUGAUUACUUCUGUAAAGAUUUCUUCUCCAAGUGAAGUCACAUUCUGAGGUACUGGUUAGGACUCCAGUGUAUGGCUUUGAAGGGACACAAUUCACCCAUAACAUGAGACGAUAAUGUCAACCAGGCACCUAGUUCUAUAGCUGACUUCUUGAUCUCAGGUAAUGUGCUCAACAACUCUGUGAUAAAAAUACUAUACAUUUUUUUCUAAUUAUUUAUUAUAAAAUUUUAAAAACAUACAGCAGUCACUACUAAAAAUACAAAAAAUUAGCUGGGUGUGGUGGUGGGUGUCUGUAGUCCCAGCUACUCGGGAGGCUGAGGCAGGAGAAUGGCGUGAAUCUGGGAGACAGAGCUUGCAGUGAGCUGAGAUUGCACCACUGCACUCCAGCCUGGGCGACAGAGCAAGACUCUGUCUCAAAAAAAAAAAACAAAAAAAACCCAAACAUACAGCAAAGCUGAAAGAAUUUUACAGUGAGCACCCUUCCCAUAUGCCCACUAGCUACAUUCUACUAUUGACAUUUUACCUUAUUUGCCUUGUCACAUAAUCUGUCCAUCUAUUCAUCCUCAAUCCACCCAUUAAUCCACCUUAUUUUCUGGUGCAUUUCAAAGUAAAUUGCAAACAUCAAUACGUUUUUCCCUAAAGUUAGCAGUCAAUCAUUAACUAGAGUUCAAUAUUUUCUUUACAGAUUUUUCUUCUGAGGUACAAUGAAGUGCUCAAAUCUUAAGUAUACAUUUAUUGAGUUUUAAGGAAAGCAAACAGCUGUGUAAUCCAAAUGCCUAGCAAGAUAUAGAACAUUACCAUCACCAUGGAAAUUUCCCUCAUGUCCUUUCCCAAUCUCUGCCUCCACCCCUCAGAGGCAACCACCAGUCGAUUUUUCCACUGUAGCUUAGUUUUGCCUGUUCUAGAACUUCAUAAAAAGUGGAAUCAGAUGCAAUUUACUCAUUCAUUUAAGGCUUCUUCCACUGAUCGUCAUGUUGUCAAGCUUCAUCCGUGCUGAAUGAAUGUUGUAGUGUGUAUCUGUAAUUCAUUGCUCCUUAUUGCUGAGUAGUAUCUCAUUGUAUGGACGUGCCACACUUCUCCUGAUGAGCCUCUGGGCUGUUUUCAGCUCUCGGCUACUGCAAAUAAGUAUGUAUUUGCAUCUCCAUUUUAGGGAUAACGAAGUGAUGCUCAGGAAGUUUAAGUGGCUUGUUGAAGGUCAUAUGGGUCAUGAGGGGCAGAACCAAGAUUUGAACUCAGCCAGAUUGGUCAGAUGCCAGAGCCUAAAGCAUUUUCUUUUUAAUUCCUUUGUGAUAUGUUUGCUUUCCGUGGUGUGGGGUGGCCUGGGAAGUAAAGUAUACCAUGGGAUGUGUAUUUUACCUUCAUCUGACUGAUUUGCAUUAUAGUCAGGCAGUCUGCAAUUGCAAGAGUGGUUUUGAGUCCCUGCUUCACCAUUUACCAGCCGUGUGACCCUGGGCACAUGACUAAACUUGCUUCUGUCUCUGCUUCCUGAUCUGUACAAUGGGGAGAUAACAGCAUACAUAGGGUUGUUGUGAGGGUUAAAUAACGAAUUAAUAUAUGAAAGCCCAGUGACUGUGCCAGGCAUAUGGUAAGUGCCAUAUGAAUGUGAGAUAUUUGACAAUUAUCUCUUGAGCACUAUCUCCAGGCCACAUCCAUGUGCUAAGUAUACAAGGAUGACUAACGCAUUGUAUCGGGCCCACCUUGUCUGCACCUUUCAUCCUCUGGAUAGAUCCCUCUUUUCCUGUGGCCAUUGGUGAGGCCAUCAGCUUCAAGCAGGUAUACCUGUCGGCAUCUUGCCUUGUUGUUCCCUCCUCUCUAUGAGGAACUGCCAUACCCUUCUCCACCGCGGCUGCGCCACUUCACAUCCCAGCAACAGUGCACAGGGGUUCCAGUGUCUCCACAUGCUUGCCAACAUGUCUCCCUCCUUUCCUCCCUCAUUCCCUCCCUCCCUUCCUUCCUUCCUUCUUUCUUUCCUUCCUU